rnacentral:tRNA from 1 species
UCCCUGUUGGUCUAGUGGUUAAGACUCUGCUCUCCCAAUGCAGGGAGCUGGGGUUCAAUUCCCAGUCAGGGAA